ACAGGACAGAGACAGACCAGUCAAUUCACAUGGCCUUCACAGGACAGAGACAGACCUGUUCAUUCAUACGGCCUUCACAGGACAGAGACAGACCAGUCAAUUCACAUGGCCUUCACAGGACAGAGACAGACCAGUCAAUUCACAUGGCCUUCACAGGACAGAGACAGACCUGUUCAUUCAUACGGCCUUCACAGGACAAACAAGACCAGUCAUAUUGUAUCUUUAUUUAACUAGGCAAGUCAGUUAAGAACAAAUUCUUAUUUUCAAAGACGGGCUAAGAACAGUGCCUUGUUCAGGGGCAGAAUAACAGAUUUUUACCUCGUCAGCUCGGGGAUUCGAUCUUGCAACCUUUCGGUUACAAGUCCAACACUCUAACCACUAGGCUACCUGCCGCCCCAAUGUCCUUCACAGGACAGAGACAGACCAGUCCAUUCCUAUGGCCUUCACAGGACAGAGACAGACCAGUCCAUUCCUAUGGCCUUCACAGGCCAGAGACAGAUUUUUGACGACACCUUUAUGAAUCACAAACUGUACAGCCACAGUCAGCAGGCAGCUUCAUUGGCCUAUUCACUUUACCAAUCUGUCAGUGGACUUCACCAAUACAGAUCACGUGCCUGAAAAACUCCCAAUCCAUGCCAACACAGAGAGGACGGAGGAAUGUACUGCAGCCAAAUUGUUAGGCUGUUCAUAUUUGACCAAACUUGUCAACUUCUCUAUAACGAUCCGACUGCUUAUCUCAAAAUAAACCACUGAAAUGAACAUGUGACUAUAUAUCCAGAAUCCUCAUCUGGAAUGCCAAUAGGGAUCACAAACCAACAUUACAGCUCACCACUGAUCCAGAUUUCUACCCAUCGUUUUAGCACUGGAGGUGCUGUGGUAAUACUGAAGGUACUGUGGUACGAGAUACUGUGUUAGCACUGGAAAUACUGUGGGACUAGAUACAGUGGGACUAGGUACUGUGGUACGAGAUACUGUGUUAGCACUGGAGAUACUGUGGGACUAGAUACUGUGGGACUAGGUACUGUGGAACUAGAUACUGUGGGACUAGGUACUGUGGGACUAGGUACUGUGGGACUAGGUACUGUGGGACUAGAUACUGUGGUAUGAGAUACUGUGUUAGCACUGGAGAUACUGUGGGAUUAGAUACUGUGGGACUAGAUACCAUGGGACUAUAUACUGUGGGAAUAGAUAUCAUUUAAAAAAAAAUGUUUACCUUUAUUUAACUAGGUUAAGAACAAAUUCUUAUUUUCAAUAACGGCCUAGGAACAGUGGGUUAACUGCCUGUUCAGGGGCAGAACGACAGAUUUGUACCUUGUCAGCUCGGGGGUUUGAACUUGCAACCUUCCGGUUACUAGUCCAACGCUCUAACCACUAGGCUACCCUGCCGCCCCAAUUGGACUAGGUACUGUGGGAUUAGAUACUGUGGGAUUAGAUACUGUGGGACUAGAUACUGUGGGACUAGAUACUGUGGGACUAGGUACUGUUGGACUACAUACUGUGGGACUAGGUACUGUUGGACUAGAUGCUGUGGGACCAGGUGCUGUGGGACUAGAUACCAUGGGACUAGAUACUGUGGGACUAGGUACUGUGGGACUAGAUACUGUGGGACUAGAUACCAUGGGACUAGAUACCAUGGGACUAGAUACUGUUGGACUAGAUACUGUGGGAAAGAUACCAUUGGACUAGAUACUGUUGGACUAGGUACUGUGGGACUAGAUACUGUGGGACUAGAUACUGUUGGACUAGAUACUGUGGGACUAGAUACUGUGGGACUAGAUACCAUGAGACUAGAUACCAUGGGACUAUAUACUGUGGGACUAGAUACCAUGGGACGAGAUACUGUUGGACUAGAUACUGUGGGAAAGAUACCAUUGGACUAGAUACUGUUGGACUAGGUACUGUGGGACUAGAUACUGUGGGACUAGAUACUGUUGGACUAGAUACUGUGGGACUAGAUACUGUGGGACUAGAUACCAUGAGACUAGAUACCAUGGGACUAUAUACUGUGGGACUAGAUACUGUGGGACUAGAUACCAUGAGACUAGAUACCAUGGGACUAUAUACUGUGGGACUAGAUACUGUGGGACUAGAUACUGUGGUUCUAGGUACUGUGAGAUGAGAUACUGUGGGACUAGGAACUGUGGGACUAGAUACUGUGUUAGCACUGGAGAUACUGUGGGACUAGAUACUGUGGGACUAGAUACUGUGGGAUGAGAUACUGUGGGACUAGAUACUGUGGGACGAGAUACUGUGGGAUGAGAUACUGUGGGACUAGAUACUGUGGGACUAGAUACUGUGGGACUAGAUACCAUGGGACUAGGUACUGUGGGCUAUAUACUGUGGGACUAGAUACCAUUGGACUAGGUACUGUGGGACUAGAGACUGUGUUAGCACUGGAGAUAAUAUGGGACUAGGUAUUGUGGGACUCAAUUCCAUUGGACUAGUUACUGUGGUACUAGGUACUGUGGGACUAGUUGCUGUGGGACCAGGUACUGUGGGACUAAAUACUGUGGGACUAGAUACCGUGGGACUAGAUACUGUGGGACUAGGCAUUGUGGGACUAGAUGCUGUGGGACUAGAUACUGUUGGACUAGAUGCUGUGGGACCAGGUGCUGUGAGACUAGAUACCAUGGGACUAGAUACUGUUGGACUAGAUACUGUGGGACUAGAUACUGUUGGACUAGGUACUGUGGGACUAGAUACUGUGGGACUAGAUACUGUGGGACUAGAUACCAUGAGACUAGAUACCAUGGGACUAUAUACUGUGGGACUGGAUACUGUGGGACUAGAUGCUGUUGGACUCAUUACCAUGGGACUAGAUACUGUGGGACUUGGUACUGUUGGACUCACUACCAUGGGACUAGAUACUGUGGGACUCAUUAUCAUGGGACUCGGUACUGUGGGACUAAGUACUGUUGGACUCAUUACCAUGGGACUAGAUACUGUGGGACUAGGUACUGUGAGACUCAUUAUCAUGGGACUAGAUAAUGUGGGACUCAUUAUCAUGGGACUAGAUACUGUGGGACUAGGUGCUGUGGGACUUAUUACCAUGCGACUAGGUACUGUGGGACUAGAUACUGUGGGACGUUACCAUGGGACUAGGUACUGUGGGACGUUACCAUGGGACUAGGUACUGUGGGACAUUACCAUGGGACUAGGUACUGUGGGACGUUACCAUGGGACUAGGUACUGUGGGACUAGGUACUGUGGGAUUAGAUACUGUUGGACUCAUUACCAUGGGACUAGGUUCCAUGGGACUAGGUACUGUGGGACAUUACCAUGGGACUAGGUACUGUGGGACCAGAUACUGUGGGACCAGAUGCUGUGGGACUAGGUACUGUGGGACGUUACCAUGGGACUAGAUACUGUGGGACCAGAUACUGUGGGACUAGGUACUGCGGAACUAGGUACUGCGGAACUUCUGCUGGUUGGGGAACAUUUUGAUUGAAACCACAAUAUUAACACUCUUAUGAGUGUACAUGCAUUUUUGUAUAUUAUAUAUCAGUGGAGGCUGCUGAGGGGAGGACGGCUCAUAAUAAUGGCUGGAUCGGAGCAAAUGGAAUGGCAUGCAACCAUGUGUUUGAUGUAUUUGAUACCAUUCAACUCAUCCCAUUCCAGCCAUUUUAUAUAUAUAUAUAUAUAUAUAUAUAUAUAUAUAUAUAUAUAUACACACUUCAUGACCAAAGGUUUGUGGACACCUACUCGUCUCAGCUCAUUCUAAAAUCAUGGGCAUUAAUAUGAAGUUGUUCCCCCUUAGCUGCUUUAACAGUUUCCGCUUUCCACAAGAUGUUGCAACGUUUCUGUGGGGACUUGCUUCCAUUCAGCAACAAAAGCAUUAGUUAGGUCGGCAUUGAUGUCCGGGCAGUGAUGUUGGGUGAUUAGGCCUGGCUCGCAGUCUCCGUUCCAAUUAAUCCAAAAAGUGUACGAUUGGUUUGAGGUCAGGGCUCUGUAUAGGCUAGUCAAGUUCUUCCACAACGAUCUCAACAAACCAUGUCUGUAUGGACCUAACUUUGUCCACGGGAACAUUAUCAUACUGAAACAGAAAUGGGCCUUACCCAAACUGUUGCCACAAAAUUGGAAGCACAGAAUAGUCUAGAAUAUCAUUGUAUGCUGUAGCGUUAACAUUUUCCUUCACUGGAACUAAGGGGCCUAGCCCGAACCAUGGAAAAAAGACCCAGACCAUAAUUCCUCCUCCACUAAACUUUACAGUUGGCACUAUGCAUUCGGGCAAGUAGCGUUCUCCUGGCAUCCGCCAAACCCAGAUACGUCUGUCGGACUACCAGAUGGUGAAGCAUGAUUCUUCACUCCAGAGAAUGCGUUUCAACUGCUUCAGAGUCCAAUGGAGGCGAGCUUUACACCAUUUCAGCCGAUGCUUGGAAAUGCGCAUUGUGAUCUUAGGCUUGUGUGAAGCUCCCGAUGAACAGUUAUUGUGCUUAUGUUGCUUCCAGAGGCAGUUUGGAACUCGGUAGUGAAUGUUGCAACCGAGAACAGGUGAUUUUUACCCGCUAUAUGCGUCAGCAUUUUGCGGGUCUGUUCUGUGCGCUUGUGUGGCCUACAACUUUACCGCUGAGCCAUUGUUGCUCCAAGAUUUUCCCACUUCACAAUAACAGCAUUUACAGUUGGGUAGCUCUAGCAGGGCAGAAAUUUGACAAACUAUCUUGUUGGAAAGGUGGCAUCCUAUGACAGUGCCACGUUGAAAGUCACUGAGUUUUUCAGUAAGGCCCAUUCUACUGCUAGUGUUUGUCUAUGGAGAUUGCAUGGCUGUGUGCUUGAUUUUAUACACCUGUCAGCAAAGGGUGUGGCUGAAAUAACCGAAUCCAUUAAUUUGAAGGGGUGUCCACAUACUUUAGUAUAUAUAUACUGGUCCAGUCAAAAGUUUGGACACACCUACUCAUUCAAGGGUUUUUCUUUAUUUUUUUAUUAUUUCCUACAUUGUAGAAUAAUAGUGAAGACAUUAAAAUGACAAAAUAACACACAUGAAAUCAUGUACUAACCAAAAAAGUGUUAAACCAACCCAAAUAUAUUUUAUAUUUUAGAAGCUCCAAAGUUGCCACCCUUUGCCUUGAUGACAGCUUUGCACACUCUUGGCAUUCUCUCAACCAGUUUCACCUGUAAUUAUUUUACAACAGUCUUGAAGGAGUUCCCACAUAUGGUGAGCACUUGUUGGCUGCUUUUUAUUCACUCUGCGGUCCAACUCAUCACAAACCAUCUCAAUUGGGUGAAGGUCGGGUGAUUGUGGAGGCCAUUUACUCUGAUGCAGCACUCCAUCACUCUCAUCCUUGGUCAAAUAGCCCUUACACUGCCAGGUAUGUUGGGUAUUUGUGUCCUGUUGAAAAACAAAUGAUAGUCCAACUAAGCACAAACCAGAUGGGAUGGCGUAUCGCUGCAGAAUGCUGUGGUAGCCAUGCUGGAUAAGUGUGCCUUGAAUUCUAAAUACAUCACUGACAUUGGCACCAGCAAAGCACCCCCACACAAUCACACCUCCUCCUCCAUGCUUCACGGUGGAAACCACACAUGCGGAGAACAUCCGUUCACCUACUCUGCGUCUCUCAAAGACAGAGUUUGGAACCAAAAAUCUAAGUUUUGAUGUCUUCACUAUUAUUCUACAAUGUAGUAAUUAUUAUUCUACGAAAUAGUAAAAAUAAUGAAAAACCCUUGAAUGAGUAGGUGUGUCCAAACUUUUGAGUGGUAGUGUAUAUAUGUGUAUAUGUGUAUACGUGUGUAUUUUUUGUAAAUGAUACAUAUUAGAUUGUAACUAUUUAAAUGAUGUACAGAUUCUUCUUCUAGACCCAUAUAGGUUAUUAUUUUAUCUAAUGAUGUUUUUUUUUGUUCUUACCUCUACCUGGCUGUAAAUGACAUGUCAUGGAGUCAGAUCAGAUGGUGAAAAAUAUACCAGCACAGCUUGACGUUCUCUUUAUAAACAUGACUUUUGUCAUUUCACCUCCUCAUUGUACAGUGACAUCCCACUGGGCACAAACUGGUUGAAUAACUUUGUUUUCACUUUGAAAACUGAUCAGGCAUCAAUGUACCAGCACAGAUUGAUGUUCUCCUUUAAAACAUGCCACAAUGUAAAGGAAUUCCUGGAAUUGUAUCAUUUUUUUCACCUACCUUUUCAACUAAAUCCAAUGACAUGGUUAAAUACAACUCAAUCAAAAUGUAAAUAUAAACUAGAUGUUGAACUGAUGACUGUGCCCAGUGGGUUGUCAUGGUGAAUCAUAUCAAACAUAUCAAGAAUAGCAUUAGGGUUUUCUUGAGGAAAACAUCAUGGAACAAUAAAUAUAUCAGAUUGUAUCAUCAGCUCUCAGGUUUCAAUAUGACAUCAUGACCAUGUGUAACUGCAGCAUAAUAAUGAUAAAAAAUAUAAUAUCCUCUUAUAGUUUGUCUUCACUUUUCACAUGCAUCAUCAAACUCCUCUGUGAUCAUCAAUAAACUUAAUGUGA
ensembl:lncRNA